rnacentral:ncRNA from 1 species
AGAUAGAGGCGCAUUGUGUAAUCAGUAGCCUGCCCUUUGAAAAGGCCGCGCAAGGUCAAUUGGGGCUUGUGAAAGGUACAGAUGCCGAAGCGUUCCCUUUUGCGCAGGGUUCGGCUGGACGGAUAAAAUAAGAUUUAUCCGGCUGUCGCCAGAAAACGGCGGAGUGCUAUCUU